UUGUCCUAUUCACAGCCUCUGGUGGAGCCCGUAUGCAGGAAGGAAUCAUGAGUCUCAUGCAGAUGGCUAAGAUCUCUGCGGCGGUUAAACGUCAUUCAAAUGCUGGUCUCUUUUACCUGACCAUUUUGACAGAUCCAACGACUGGUGGUGUGACAGCUUCUUUCGCUAUGGAAGGCGAUAUCAUUCUGGCUGAACCACAGAGCUUGGUUGGUUUUGCUGGGCGUCGUGUGAUUGAAAAUACGGUUCGUGAAAGCUUGCCUGAGGAUUUCCAAAAGGCAGAAUUCCUAUUAGAACAUGGCUUUGUGGAUGCUAUUGUCAAAAGAAGAGACUUACCAGAUACGAUUGCUAGCCUAGUCAGAUUGCAUGGAGGGAGUCCUAGAUGAAUAUUGCAAAAAUAGUCAGAGAAGCGCGUGAGCAGAGUCGCUUGACAACCUUGGAUUUUGCGACAGGCAUUUUUGAUGAAUUUAUCCAAUUACAUGGUGACCGUUCUUUUCGUGAUGAUGGUGCAGUUGUUGGUGGUAUUGGUUGGCUUGGAGAUCAAGCUGUAACAGUGGUUGGUAUCCAAAAAGGCAAGAGUUUGCAAGACAACCUCAAACGGAAUUUUGGCCAACCACAUCCAGAAGGCUACCGAAAGGCACUGCGGUUGAUGAAACAGGCUGAGAAAUUUGGCCGUCCAGUUGUGACCUUUAUCAAUACAGCAGGUGCUUAUCCUGGUGUCGGAGCGGAAGAACGUGGUCAAGGGGAAGCUAUCGCUCGCAAUCUCAUGGAAAUGAGUGACCUGAAAGUUCCUAUUAUCGCCAUUAUUAUCGGUGAAGGUGGUUCAGGCGGGGCUCUGGCUCUAGCUGUCGCGGACCGUGUCUGGAUGCUGGAAAAUUCUAUCUAUGCCAUUCUCAGUCCAGAAGGCUUUGCUUCCAUUUUAUGGAAGGACGGUACUCGCGCUAUGGAAGCAGCAGAACUGAUGAAAAUCACUUCGCAUGAACUGUUAGAAAUGGACGUGGUGGAUAAGGUGAUUUCUGAAAUAGGACUUUCUAGUAAAGAACUGAUUAAGAGUGUCAAAAAAGAACUCCAAACGGAGCUGGCUAGACUUUCACAAAAACCGCUAGAAGAGUUGCUGGAAGAACGCUAUCAACGAUUUAGAAAAUACUAAGAAUGAGGCUCUUUGUCAACUGUAGUGGGUUGAAAAAAAGCUAAGCUUGAGAAAGGACAAAUUUCGUCCUUUCUUUUUUGAUAUUCAGGGCGAUAAAAAUCCGUUUUUUGAAGUUUUCAAAGUUCCGAAAACCAAAGGCAUUGCGCUUGAUAAGUUUGAUGAGAUUAUUGGUCGCUUCCANGGACCUAAGGAGAGACCGAAAGGUGUAUCCGAUGGACAACAGGUUGAUAUUCCUGUACUAGAGUAUGUAGUGAUGGAGGGACGCAGUAGGCUAACUAAAGCAGACGAUUGGAAGAGUCUGUCUAAGCAGUGAGGUGUGAUAUGAGUCAAAUGCUUAUAUCUGUAACAUUGAGCUGUGAUGGGGAGCGAAGUUUAGUAGCGAAGUUAGUGACGUCACACUGCCAAGAAAAGCUUCUAGCGUUUAAACAUACUCUACCCGUACCGCAAACCGACACAGGUAGUCGAGGCGAGUAGCCUCAGGUGAGCGAGAGAACUCUCGUUAAGGAACUCGGCAAAAUGACCCCGUAACUUCGGGAGAAGGGGUGCUGACUUUAAGUCAGCCGCAGUGAAUAGGCCCAAGCAACUGUUUAUCAAAAACACAGCUCUCUGCUAAAUCGUAAGAUGAUGUAUAGGGGGUGACGCCUGCCCGGUGCUGGAAGGUUAAGAGGAGUGCUUAGCGUAAGCGAAGGUAUGAAUUGAAGCCCCAGUAAACGGCGGCCGUAACUAUAACGGUCCUAAGGUAGCGAAAUUCCUUGUCGGGUAAGUUCCGACCCGCACGAAAGGCGUAAUGAUUUGGGCACUGUCUCAACGAGAGACUCGGUGAAAUUUUAGUACCUGUGAAGAUGCAGGUUACCCGCGACAGGACGGAAAGACCCCAUGGAGCUUUACUGCAGUUUGAUAUUGAGUGUCUGUACCACAUGUACAGGAUAGGUAGGAGUCUAAGAGAUCGGGACGCCAGUUUCGAAGGAGACGCUGUUGGGAUACUACCCUUGUGUUAUGGCCACUCUAACCCAGAUAGGUGAUCCCUAUCGGAGACAGUGUCUGACGGGCAGUUUGACUGGGGCGGUCGCCUCCUAAAAGGUAACGGAGGCGCCCAAAGGUUCCCUCAGAAUGGUUGGAAAUCAUUCGCAGAGUGUAAAGGUAUAAGGGAGCUUGACUGCGAGAGCUACAACUCGAGCAGGGACGAAAGUCGGGCUUAGUGAUCCGGUGGUUCCGUAUGGAAGGGCCAUCGCUCAACGGAUAAAAGCUACCCUGGGGAUAACAGGCUUAUCUCCCCCAAGAGUUCACAUCGACGGGGAGGUUUGGCACCUCGAUGUCGGCUCGUCGCAUCCUGGGGCUGUAGUCGGUCCCAAGGGUUGGGCUGUUCGCCCAUUAAAGCGGCACGCGAGCUGGGUUCAGAACGUCGUGAGACAGUUCGGUCCCUAUCCGUCGCGGGCGUAGGAAAUUUGAGAGGAUCUGCUCCUAGUACGAGAGGACCAGAGUGGACUUACCGCUGGUGUACCAGUUGUCUUGCCAAAGGCAUCGCUGGGUAGCUAUGUAGGGAAGGGAUAAACGCUGAAAGCAUCUAAGUGUGAAACCCACCUCAAGAUGAGAUUUCCCAUGAUUAUAUAUCAGUAAGAGCCCUGAGAGAUGAUCAGGUAGAUAGGUUAGAAGUGGAAGUGUGGCGACACAUGUAGCGGACUAAUACUAAUAGCUCGAGGACUUAUCCAA
rnacentral:rRNA from 1 species